CUACGGGGGGCUGCAGUGGGGGAUAUUGCACAAUGGAGGAAACUCUGAUGCAGCAACGCCGCGUGAAGGAAGACGGUUUUCGGAUUGUAAACUUCUAUCAGCUGGGAAGAAAAUGACGGUACCAGACUAAGAAGCCCCGGCUAACUACGUGCCAGCAGCCGCGGUAAUAAGUAGGGGGCAAGCGUUAUCCGGAUUUACUGGGUGUAAAGGGUUCGUAGGCGGUUAUUUAAGUCAGAUGUGAAAGCCCGAGGCUCAACCUCGGGACUGCAUUUGAAACUGGAUAACUAGAGUACAGGAGAGGAAAGCGGAAUUCCUAGUGUAGCGGUGAAAUGCGUAGAUAUUAGGAAGAACACCAGUGGCGAAGGCGGCUUUCUGGACUGUAACUGACGCUGAUGAACGAAAGCGUGGGGAGCGAACAGGAUUAGAUACCCCAGUAGUC
rnacentral:rRNA from 1 species